GAAGCGUGAUUUAUGUGCCCGAAAAUGCAGUUAAGUCACAGAGCAGUGUAAAGAAACUGGUCACCUAGCAACCUGAAUUAGUCUAGCAACACCGUCUGAACUGACCAGUCUGGUGAAAUUCUGGACUGGAUGGGAGACUCUACCAAGAACUCUCUCCUCAGAAGUAGUGAAUGGCAGAUACCUGACAGCCUCCACCUGCUAUGAGACCUUACAUUCCCAGGACAUUACAAGGACUACACAUCAUUUAAGACUGAUAUCCUGGCCUGUAUUUGCACCAGCCAGUCAAGAUAUGUUAGGUGUUGUUGUCUAGUUAGUUUUACUUGACUGACAAAACUAAGUGCACUUUUGGAUUCCCUCCCCUACCUGUUCUCCCAACUCACCUGACAGGUUAUCUGGCUCAAGUAUGCGUGUUUCUGCCAUACAUUUAAAGUAUCUGAAGUUAAGAAUAUUUCUGGUGAAC
ensembl:lncRNA